CGAACGCUGGCGGCGUGCCUAAUACAUGCAAGUUGAGCGAUGAAGAUUGGUGCUUGCACCACUUUGAAGAGCAGCGAACGGGUGAGUAACGCGUGGGGAAUCUGCCUUUGAGCGGGGGACAACAUUUGGAAACGAAUGCUAAUACCGCAUAACAACUUUAAACAUAAGUUUUAAGUUUGAAAGAUGCAAUUGCAUCACUCAAAGAUGAUCCCGCGUUGUAUUAGCUAGUUGGUGAGGUAAAGGCUCACCAAGGCGAUGAUACAUAGCCGACCUGAGAGGGUGAUCGGCCACAUUGGGACUGAGACACGGCCCAAACUCCUACGGGAGGCAGCAGUAGGGAAUCUUCGGCAAUGGACGAAAGUCUGACCGAGCAACGCCGCGUGAGUGAAGAAGGUUUUCGGAUCGUAAAACUCUGUUGGUAGAGAAGAACGUUGGUGAGAGUGGAAAGCUCAUCAAGUGACGGUAACUACCCAGAAAGGGACGGCUAACUACGUG
rnacentral:rRNA from 1 species